rnacentral:rRNA from 1 species
UACGUAGGGUGCGAGCGUUGUCCGGAAUUAUUGGGCGUAAAGGGCUCGUAGGCGGUUUGUCGCGUCGGGAGUGAAAACACCCGGGCUUAACUCGGUGCUUGCUUUCGAUACGGGCAGACUAGAGGCAUGCAGGGGAGAACGGAAUUCCUGGUGUAGCGGUGAAAUGCGUAGAGAUCAUGAGGAAGACCAGUGGCGAAGGCGGGUCUCUGGACAGUCCUGACACUGAGGCACGAAGGCCAGGGGGGAGCAAACGGG